UACGGAGGGUGCAAACGUUGCUCGGAAUCAUUGGGCGUAAAGCGCACGUAGGCGGUCCUUUAAGUCGGGUGUGAAAGCCCUCGGCUCAACCGAGGAAGUGCAUUCGAAACUGGGGGACUUGAAUACUGGAGAGGAUGGCGGAAUUCCCCGGUGUAGAGGUGAAAUUCGUAGAUAUCGGGAGGAACACCAGCGGCGAAGGCGGCCAUCUGGACAGAUAUUGACGCUGAGGUGCGAAAGCGUGGGGAGCAAACAGG
rnacentral:rRNA from 1 species